rnacentral:rRNA from 1 species
GACGAACGCUGGCGGCGUGCCUAAUACAUGCAAGUAGAACGCACAGUUUAUACCGUAGCUUGCUACACCAUAGACUGUGAGUUGCGAACGGGUGAGUAACGCGUAGGUAACCUGCCUGGUAGCGGGGGAUAACUAUUGGAAACGAUAGCUAAUACCGCAUAAUAUUGAUUAUUGCAUGAUAAUUGAUUGAAAGAUGCUAUUGCAUCACUACCAGAUGGACCUGCGUUGUAUUAGCUAGUAGGUGAGGUAACGGCUCACCUAGGCGACGAUACAUAGCCGACCUGAGAGGGUGGUCGGCCACACUGGGACUGAGACACGGCCCAGACUGCUACGGGAGGCAGCAGGAGGGAAUCUUCGGGAAUGGACGAAAGUCUGACCGAGAAACGCCGCGUGAGUGAAGAAGGUUUUCGGAUCGGAAAGCUCGGUUGUAAGAGAAGAACGGGUGUGAGAGUGGAAAGUUCACACUGUGACGGUAUCUGACCAGAAAGGGACGGCUAACUACGUG